rnacentral:lncRNA from 1 species
CGCAAGAGAACAUCAUGGAGGUCUCAGACCUAUCUGCAGAGGUGGCUAGACUUCGAGGAGUUUUAGAGAGUGGAUUUGACUUUUUGAGGAGAGAGAUCAGGGGCUCCAGUAAGACUAUCUCUACUCAGAUUGGUGCUUUGAUGCAGUCUAUGUCGAGAGCUUUGGAACAAUUGGACACCAUCAGACUUUCUCUUCUAGCACAGUUCAUAUCUUCCCCAGCUCUAGGAUCCUCUCGCCCCUCUACUC